GAUGAACGCUGGCGGCGUGCCUAAUACAUGCCAGUCGAGCGAACAGACGAGGAGCUUGCUCCUCUGACGUUAGCGGCGGACGGGUGAGUAACACGUGGAUAACCUACCUAUAAGACUGGGAUAACUUCGGGAAACCGGAGCUAAUACCGGAUAAUAUAUUGAACCGCAUGGUUCAAUAGUGAAAGACGGUUUUGCUGUCACUUAUAGAUGGAUCCGCGCCGCAUUAGCUAGUUGGUAAGGUAACGGCUUACCAAGGCAACGAUGCGUAGCCGACCUGAGAGGGGGAUCGGCCACACGGGAACGGAGACCCGGUCCAGCCUCCUACGGGAGGAAGCAGAAGGAAAUCUUCCGAAAGGGGCGAAAGCCGGACGGAGCACCGCCGCGUGAGUAAUAAAGGUCUUGGGAUCGAAAAACUUUUUUAUUGGGGAAAAAAAAAUGUGUAAUUAACAAUGCACGUCUUGACGGUACCUAAUAAGAAAGCCACGGCUAACUCCGUG
rnacentral:rRNA from 1 species